AGAUGUGAGGGCAAUCUGGUUGUGACAUCUGUCAGCCCAUUGAUCGCCGGGUUUGAUUUAGCUGCUCUGGCUGGCUAGGCGGGUGUCCCAGUCCUUCCUCCCUCAGUGCUCCAGGUAUGUCCCUUCCGAAGCUGCAAGCUCAGUGGAAAAGGACAAUCACCCCCUCUCAUACAGGAGGACCAUUCAGUCAAGGGUAUAGGAGUAGCUUCACUCCCCUGCGAAAACCUCCAAACAAGCUCUCAAGAUCUGAAAUGCCAUCUGCUCUCAACCUGGAGCAGGGGUAGGACAGGGAGGUGAUGGAAUCAUCCGAGGGGCUGGUGUGCCAGAUGGUGACAUCUAUUUCUGCUGUCAGCCCCAUAUGCU
rnacentral:snRNA from 1 species